GUUUUUUGUUUUUUUAGGGCUGUACCCGUGGCAUAUGGAGGUUCCCAGGCUAGGGUUCAAAUUGGAGCUGUAGCUAUAUGCAGGCCUACACCACCCACAGCUAUAGCAACUUGGGAUCCGAGCUGCGUCUGCAACCUACGCCACAGCUCACGAGAGUGCUGGAUCCUUAACCCACUGAGUGAGGCCAGGGAUUGAACCUGUGUCCUCAUGGAUACUAGUUGUGUUCUUAACCCACUGAGCCACAAUGGGAACUCCAAAAAACAGUCUUUAUUUCAGACUAGAGAGUGAUGAGCCUAAUCUCUCUCUUUCCCCGUCUCCCAUUUUUGCAGAUGAUAUCUUGCCCACCAUAAUAGUUGGUGUAGAAAAUGGAUUUGAAUCCAAGCCCAAUAUUGUUUCUUCCACCUAGUGCUUCCUCUAGAUUCCACCUAAGUCCAAGGAGGCGAUGUGAGACAGAAACAUUUUUAUUCCACAUGGAAAGAUUAUAAUAGCCUCUGACAUUGUGCUCCUCUGAUGAAGGAAAUGUCCAUGGUAUAAAUUUUUAUUGUGCAUAAAAUCACCUGGGAAGCUUGUUAAAAAUGCAGAUUCCUAGGCAGCUAGAAGCCUUGUCAUUGGUCCAGAGCAACAUGAAGACCUACUUGUCACUUACACUGAGGCUUCCUGCCCAGUGGGUUCACCAGCAAGCCAGAAGGAAGCAUCACUGCCAUGGAUGUCCUUGUGAGGCAGUUGUGAAGCCUUGGAGAGCUUUAGAAACAACUUGUCAAGUUUUCACCACAAAUACCAUUGGAGUUACAAUUGGAGUCUCACUGAAUUAUAGAGUAAUUUUUGGAGAGCUAUCAUCUUUAUAAUCUUCUCAUACAUGAAUGUGAUUGACUAUUGAUUAAUUUUUCAUCAACAUUUGCAUGGCAUACCUGGCAGGAUAUCAGAGAUACCUACCAGAGAACACCUGGAGGACAGCUUGAAUUGGCCAUUAGUACCAGCAUGUACCCUUUGAGACCCGCUGACUUCUUGGUAUCUCUCAGGUGUUCUGAAAAAGAAAAAAAAAGAAGAGAACUGGGCUAUUAGACCCCACAUCAAGAGACAUAAUUCACCUAGGGCAGGAGACACCCAUGGGAUGCAGAAGUUCCCCGGCCAGGGAAUGAACCCAAGCCACAGCAGUGACAAUGUUGAAUCCUUAACCAUUAGGCCACCAGGGAAAUCUGAAUAUUGUUCCUUUAUUUUAGAAUGAAUAAAUGCUUAUGGGAA
rnacentral:lncRNA from 1 species